rnacentral:rRNA from 1 species
AGCGAACGCUGGCGGCAGGCCUAACACAUGCAAGUCGAGCGCCCCGCAAGGGGAGCGGCAGACGGGAGAGUAACACGUGGGAACGUACCCUUCAGUUCGGAACAACCCAGGGAAACUUGGGCUAAUACCGGAUACGUCCGUAAGGAGAAAGAUUUAUCGCUGAAGGAUCGGCCCGCGUCUGAUUAGCUAGUUGGUGAGGUAACGGCUCACCAAGGCGACGAUCAGUAGCUGGUCUGAGAGGAUGAUCAGCCUCACUGGGACUGAGACACGGCCCAGACUCCUACGGGAGGCAGCAGUGGGGAAUAUUGGACAAUGGGCGCAAGCCUGAUCCAGCCAUGCCGCGUGGAUGAUGAAGGCCCUAGGGUUGUAAAGUCCUUUCGGCGGGGAAGAUAAUGACGGUACCCGCAGAAGAAGCCCCGGCUAACUUCGUGCCAGCAGCCGCCGCCG